rnacentral:tRNA from 1 species
GCCCCCGUAGCUCAGAGGACAGAGCAGGGCUUUCCUAAAGCCAAGGUCGCAGGUUCGACUCCUGCCGGGGGCG